GAAAGGGAGGUAAUUUUAUUACUCUUAUGGUAUGUUUUCCAUUAUUUGCAUAAUUGCUUAAUGCUAAUAAGACAAUUAGCAAUUCUUACAGCUUAAUAAUUACCCAGCAAUGACUGGGCUACUGUAGCUUAAUUAAUUUUUUAAUUGUUGCUGGGGGUCUUGACAAUUUUUGCCUGUAUCUUGUGUUAGAGAUGGUGUCUCUGCAAACAGGCUGAUACCAAAACACCACCAGCAACACAGGACAGGCAGAUAUGUUGUUAUAGAGGUAUUCUAAUUUUAAACUGACGGGAAAUUUCAAGCUCUAUAUUCUGCUACUUUAGGGGCACAUUAUCUAAAUGCAGACAGGCAACACAGAGAACAGUCCACCUCAGGCAAAUGCUCAAAUGCUACCUCUAUAGCAGCCAGGCUACUUGGAUGGCAUGGGGCUGGCUUUGACUGUCCUGAAGUUAACAAAAGUCUUACCAUUUUUAGCUUUUAGCAAACAAGUCCUUGAAUUAAGUGUGAACAAUACUGUCCUGAAUCAUGGUACGGCCAGAAGGAAGUUGAUUGAGGGCAGGCAGGGCCAGGAGUGCAUUUGUCACUGAUGGAGGUCACAGAUGAGGUUGGCUGGAGGAAGUGGAUGGCAGGGCCCAGGGAUCAGUCCUGGGAUAGGCUCCACUCACAGACACAGGUAAAAUGAGAGGUUUCCUCUCCUUUUCUAUUUUGCACAAGACUUCUUGCCUGCUGCUCCUUGCAAGGUGAGGCUUCUCUUUACUCCUUCUCAUUUCUCAUGGCUGGCACAUCAGCCUUUAGCCAUGAAAUCCCAGUUGGUGGCUGUUAGCUGCACACCUCUCCCCGUGCUUUUCCCCUGAGGCAGGAAACAGGCAGGUACCUCCCUCCUCAGUCAUGCCCUGCUCAUGACCAAAUUUACAUGCUGCUCCAGGAUACCCCACACAGUUCCUGGGAUGCACAACCUUGCCCAGAGCUGCAUCAAAGAGCCACAAACCUCCAGGAUAUUGGCACAUUCCAGCCACACAGGGUGCCAGGUGUGUGGCAUGGCCAGCUUAGAGAUGCCCACUUGUGCCCAGCCAAGCAGUGGAGGCCCAUGAUGUGCAUGCUGGACAAGAGCCAGCCUUGCCCUGAGCUGGGUGCAGCCACAGGAUGAGAAACAAACCUCUGGCCAGUCUUCCCCAUCAUGCCUCCCCUACAGCUGGCAAGGGAUUCCCAGUGUAUCUGAGAAGAGAAAAAGCCUCCCCAUGAGCCAGUGUUAAACAUUCCCCAGCCCCAGACCAGCUCUGGCAGCCCAGUUCUCUUUAGAAACCUCUUGACUACAGGAGAUGAUGGUAAAAGGUGUUUAAACAAGCAUUUUGCACCAGUUUGGGAAGUGCUGCCUCUAAGGCAGAUGGGAGCAGUGACUUGCACUGGGGCCCCAUGGGCUUGGCCAGGAAAGACCCUACAAACCUCGUCACCACUCCUCUUCUGAUCAAGGCACAAGCUCUGGAAGACACAGAAGAUGGCCCCAGCCCCAGGAGGAGCCUGGGAUGAGCUGUGAAGGGUGAGCCUGUCAGCUCAGCCAGGCAGAGAUGGAAAUCACAGAGCACAGAUUACAGGCAGGCAAGUGUCAGGGCAUCAGUACCACUGUCACCAACAUUUGAGAGCUGCCACAGCUGCCUUCCCCAAGAGCAGGGAUGGGGCCCUGCCCUGAGCUGUCUCCAUCCAGCCAGGCACCCUCUGACAGCUGUUUCCAGCACUGAUCUGGUUGUGAUGAUGUGCUUCAAGCCAAGGCAACCUGCUGAGCUCCACUGGGUCUAAGCAGAGGAUGGCAGCACAGAAAAUGCAUUGUGGGAACCUUCAACACAGCAAAAAGGAGAGAUCAACAAAUCACAGAGCAUGAUUUUUGUACUGGGAGAUCUAUAGGAAGUCUCAGUUCUGCAGAGUAACUUCCACCCACAUCAUCUCCAUUUGGCUUCAUUUCCUGAUUUCCCAAAAGGAGAUUGCUGCUGCUGUUAAUGAGAUGCUCCUUCCACCUUCCCAGACACAUCUCUUUCCACAGAGCUCUGCAAAGCCUGUCUGCUCUGGACUGAGGGGGUCAUGAAAUAGUUCUGCCAACAUCCAAGCGUGCCCUGCUCCUGCAUCCUGGAGCAGGUCUGCUCACCACAGGCAUUGCAAAACAGACACAGGACAAUUUGGGACCAACCACAUUGUUUGGUUUUGCCUGUAAAUGUUUCUAGUUGCAGUUCCAGAGUGGAAUUUCUGGAAAUCCCCAGCUGUAGAGAUCUUUACCAAAGCACCACUAUCGUGUUUGAGUCACUGGCUUUGCACAAUCACACUCUUGAGACAUCUUCCUUGCUCCUUGACUCAAAGUCCUUAUAAGCCCUUUUCCAGGAAGUCCCACAGGUUCCCAGCUGCUCUAGGCCCACAGCAGCACCAAGAGAACUACCUCCCUGCUCUGACAAACUGAGCAGUGCCUUAAUGAUGUGUGAGAAGGGACUGAGGUAAGGGUUCCCAGUGAGAGUACUGGCUCCCCUUGGACAGGCUUUAAUCCUGCUGUCACUGAGCCCCUCAGGAAACCCAUUCCAAUGACUUGAUCUCCUUCAGCAGUUCCUCCACAUAAUUUAUAUGGAGCUAAUUGCCACAGUAGUGGCUCCGGAUGCAAAGCAGAUGCUGCUGAGGAGAAGAGCAUGUUACAUCCAUAACUGAUAGCUCUAAUCUCUAUUUAAAUACAAGGCUACUUAGAGCUGAUGGGAGGUUCAGUUCUCCCCCUUUUCUUCUCCACUUCUUUGCAAAGCCAGCUAGACAUUCAUUCAUAUUUUGAGACACCAGCUAAAGUGCUCAGCUGUGGUAUUCCUCAUGUGCAAGAACAGCCAGUAUUACCCCACCCAGGCACCUAUGAGCUCACAACUAUCCCCACCACCAGCAAGGAGAUACAGAUACAAUUCCUCCAGGAUGUUUGUCAUUGCUAUACUACAGUGUUUCUCUACUAACAAGUGGAACACUAGAGGAAUAGAGACAAAUUACAUGAGAACAAACUGGUGAUUAGAAUUAAGUGAGGCUGGAGAAAAAGCACGUGGAGCAGUGGA
ensembl:lncRNA